rnacentral:rRNA from 1 species
GAUGUUGGGUUAAGUCCCGCAACGAGCGCAACCCUUGUCAUUAGUUGCUACAUUUAGUUGGGCACUCUAGUGAGACUGCCGGUGACAAACCGGAGGAAGGUGGGGAUGACGUCAAGUCCUCAUGGCCCUUACGGGCUGGGCUACACACGUGCUACAAUGGCGGUGACAGUGGGAUGCAAAGGGGCGACCCCUCGCAAAUCUCCAAAAGCCAUCUCAGUUCGGAUUGCACUCUGCAACUCGGGUGCAUGAAGGUGGAAUCGCUAGUAAUCGUGGAUCAGCAUGCCACGGUGAAUACGUUCCCGGGCCUUGUACACACCGCCCGUCAAGUCAUGAAAGUCGGUAACACCCGAAGCCGGUGGCCCAACCCUUGUGGAGGGAGCUGUCGAAGGUGGGACUGGCGAUUGGGACUAAGUCGGAACAAGGUAGCCGUACCGGAAGGUGCGGCUGGAUCACCUCCUU